AUUGAACGCUGGCGGCAUGCUUUACACAUGCAAGUCGAACGGUAACAGGCCUUCGGGUGCUGACGAGUGGCGAACGGGUGAGUAAUGCAUCGGAACGUACCCAGAGGUGGGGGAUAACGCAGCGAAAGCUGUGCUAAUACCGCAUGUGAUCUGAGGAUGAAAGCGGGGGACCGAGCAGCAAUGUUUGGCCUCGCGCCUUUGGAGCGGCCGAUGUCGGAUUAGCUAGUUGGUGGGGUAAAGGCCUACCAAGGCGACGAUCCGUAGCUGGUCUGAGAGGACGACCAGCAAAACUGGGCCUGAGAAACGGCCCAGAAUCCUACGGGAGGAAGCGGUGGGGAAUUUUGGACAAGGGGCGCAAGCCUGAUCCAGCAAUGCGGGGUGGGGGAAGAAGGCCUUCGGGUGGUAAACCGCUUUUGGAAGGAACGAAACGGUGUCGGUAAAAACCGGGCGUUAUGACGGUACCUGCAGAAUAAGCACCGGCUAACUACGUG
rnacentral:rRNA from 1 species